CCUCCAUUCUUGGCAUGCUCGUGUUUUCUGUACUCUUGUGUGUAUGUAUGGAGGGAUAUCAGAGCCAGUGCAAUGUCUUCGGUGCCAGCAUGUUCCCAUCAGCUGGUUCUAUCCUCAAUCACUGGAACACCU